AUUCGCUAGUAAUCGCGCAUCAGCCACGGCGCGGUGAAUACGUUCCCGGGCCUUGUACACACCGCCCGUCAAGCCAUGGAAGCCGGGAGUGCCUGAAGUGCGUGACCGCAAGGAGCGUCCUAAGGCAAUACCGGUGACUGGGGGCUAAGUCGUAACAAGGUAGC
rnacentral:rRNA from 1 species